rnacentral:ncRNA from 1 species
UACCAGCCAAAAUCGUCAAGUGUACCAGUAGUGGUACACUGUACCACAGUUUGCCAUCACUGAGCUAGAGGAUCGAAGAUGAUUAGAUACCAUUGUAGUUCUAGCAGUAAACUAUGUUGAAUCAUAGAUAUAUUUUGAUAUAUAUUUAUGUAGAGAAAUUAAGAUUAUAUUGACUCUGGGGAUAGUAUGAUCGCAAGAUUGAAAAUUAAAGAAAUUGACGGAAGAAUACCACAAGGAGUGGAUUGUGCGGCUUAAUUUGACUCAACGCGGGGUAAUUUACCAGGUAUAACAUGGUGUAAUAUUUUAUCAUGAUAGUGGUGCAUGGCCGUUUCCAAUGGAUGCUGUGAAGUAAUGAUUAAUUUCAACAAGAUGUGAGACCCUCAUUUAGACAGAUGUAGUGAUACAUAUGAAGGAGAGGAUUAAAACAGGUCCGUUAUGCCCUAAGAUAAUCUGGGUUGCACGCGCAAUACAAUAAUAUUUGAUAUUAUAAGGGAUAAUAUAAUGUAAGAUAUAUUUGAACAUGGAAUUGCUAGUAAAUUUUAUUUAAUAAGUAGAAUUGAAUGAGUCCCUGUUCUUUGUACACACCGCCCGUCGCUAUCUAAGAUGGUAUUAUCUAUGAACAAAUUUAUAAAGUGAAUAGAUAGUACUAGAUCUGAUAUAAGUCGUAACAUGGUUGCUGUUGGAGAACCAUUAGCAGGAUCAUAA